UACGUAGGGUGCAAGCGUUAAUCGGAAUUACUGGGCGUAAAGCGUGCGCAGGCGGCUUUGCAAGACAGAUGUGAAAAUCCCCGGGCUUAACCUGGGAACUGCAUUUGUGACUGCAUGGCUGGAGUGCGGCAGAGGGGAUGGAAUUCCGCGUGUAGCAGUGAAAUGCGUAGAUAUGCGGAGGAACACCGAUGGCGAAGGCAGCCCCCUGGGAUAACACUGACGCUCAUGCACGAAAGCGUGGGGAGCAAACGGG
rnacentral:rRNA from 1 species